UACGGAGGGGGCGAGCGUUGUCCGAAUUUAUUGGGCGUAAAGCGCGUGUAGGCGGAUUGUCAAGCCUUUGGUGAAAGGCUGGGGCUCAACCCCAGGAGUGCCGAAGGGACUGACAGUCUGGAGGCAGGCAGAGGAGAGUGGAAUUCCUGGUGUAGCGGUGGAAUGCGUAGAGAUCAGGAAGAACACCCAUGGCGAAGGCAGCUCUCUGGGCCUGUACUGACGCUGAGACGCGAAAGCGUGGGGGAGCGAACGGG
rnacentral:rRNA from 1 species